AAUCAUAUGUUUGUUUAAAAGAUUAAGCCAUGCAUGUCUAAGUAUAAGCUGUAUCACAGCGAAACUGCGAAUGGCUCAUUAUAUCAGCUACAAUCUACUCGAUUAAUAACUUUACACGGAUAACUGUAGGAAUUCUAGAGCUAAUACGUGCAAAAGGGCCGGACCUGGGGCAACUCAGGGAAGGCCGUAGUUGCAAGGUGAGAAACCAGUUCGGGGUAUUCCAAACUUCCAGGGGUGGGUCGGGGAAACCCGGUCUCUUCUGGAGGGCUCCGAUCUAGGCAGACGAAUCAUUGCAAAGCGUUGCGAAUCGAGGGCAAAAGCUCUCGAUGAUGCGAACGAGUAUCUGCCCUAUCAACUUUCGAUUGUAGUGUAGGGGACUACAAUGGUGAUAACGGGUACGGGGAAUUAGGGUUCGAUUCCGGAGAGUUAGCCUUAAAAUGGCUAACAUUACCAAGGUAAGCAGCAGGCGCGUAAAUUAUCCAAUCCCAAUUCGGGGAGAUAGUGACAAGAAAUAUCGGUGUGGGGCCUUAUGGGCUUCACGAUCGAAAUGAGUACAAUUUAAAAACCUUAACGAGGAACAAUUGGAGGGCAAGUCUGGUGCCAGCAGCCGCGGUAAUUCCAGCUCCAAGAGCGUAUAUUAAAGUUGUUGCGGUUAAAAAGCUCGUAGUUGAACCGAGGGGGUAGCGCACGAAAGCUUUCGGGUCUUCGCUUCGCGUGGGGGCUCGGAGGUCGUGUGUCUGCCUUCGAAUUUGUGAUGAUUAUACCAGCUUGGGGGGGUGCUCUUUGCUCAAAAGGCGGGGGGUGUCUUCUUCUUGCUGGAUCGCAGAGUUUUACUUUGAAUAAAUUAGGGUGUUCAAAGCAGACGAAUACGUCUUGAAUAGAUUAGCAUGGGAUAAUGAAAUAAGACCUUUUUGGCUUACAUUUACUGGUUUCUGAGGCCGAGGUAAUGAUUAAUAGGGACAGUUGGGGUCGCUCGUACUCGGUGGUGAGAGGUGAAAUUCUAAGACCCAUCGAAGACGAACAAGUGCGAAGGCAUUCGACAAGGAUGUUUUCUUUAAUCAAGAACGAAAGUUAUGGGAUCGAAGAUGAUCAGAUACCGUCGUAGUCAUAACCGUAAACUAUGUUGACUUGGGAUCCAGGGAUGUUACAUGGAUGACUCUCUGGGCACCAUGUGCGAAAGCACAAGUAUUCGAACUCCGGGGGGAGUAUGGUCGCAAGGCUGAAACUUAAAGGAAUUGACGGAAGGGCACCACCAGGUGUGGAAUCUGCGGCUUAAUUUGACCCAACACGGGGAAACUUACCCAGUCCGGACGCGAUGAGGAUUGACAGAUUGAUAGUUCUUUCUUGAUUUUGUGGAAGCCGGUGCAUGGCCGUUUUUAGUUGGUGGAGUGAUUUGUCUGGUUAAGUCCGAUAACGAACGAGACCUAAAUCUACUAAAUAGUGGUGCGAACAAGGGGGCUUUCGCGGCAG
rnacentral:rRNA from 1 species